rnacentral:tRNA from 1 species
ACAGUGGUGGUUGAGCGGUAGAAUUCUCGCCUUCCAUGCAGGAGACUCAGGUUCAAUUCCUGGCCAGUA